rnacentral:rRNA from 1 species
GGGGCGCAGCAGGCGCGAAACCUCCGCAAUGUGAGAAAUCGCGACGGGGGGAUCCCAAGUGCCAUUCUUAACGGGAUGGCUUUUCAUUAGUGUAAAGAGCUUUUGGAAUAAGAGCUGGGCAAGACCGGUGCCAGCCGCCGCGGUAACACCGGCAGCUCCAGUGGUAGCAAUUUUUAUUGGGCCUAAAGCGUCCGUAGCCGGUUUAAUAAGUCUCUGGUGAAAUCCUGUAGCUUAACUGUGGGAAUUGCUGGAGAUACUAUUAGACUUGAGACCGGGAGAGGUUAGAGGUACUCCCAGGGUAGAGGUGAAAUUCUGUAAUCCUGGGAGGACCGCCUGUUGCGAAGGCGUCUAACUGGAACGGUUCUGACGGUGAGGGACGAAAGUUAGGGGCGCGAACCGGAUUAGAUACCCGGGUAGUCCUAACUGUAAACGAUGCGGACUUGGUGUUGGGGUGGCUUUGAGCUGUCUCAGUGCCGAAGGGAAGCUGUUAAGUCCGCCGCCUGGGAAGUACGGUCGCAAGACUGAAACUUAA